rnacentral:pre_miRNA from 1 species
AAUAAGAUUAUUUUUUAGUUUUUCAAUACAAUGUUUUGACUCUUCAUCUUAUUUAAAAAUUUUUUGCGAUUAAUAUUUUUAUUCUUACCAGAUGAUAAAACAUGAAUAGUACUUUAUGCGUGACUAAUCUUUUUUAAGUUUUUAUAUAAUUUUUUCAAAUAAGACGAAUGGUUAAAAUGUUGGACACGGAAAAAC